CAAUCCUCCUCUCUUCGGAAUGAGAGAGGCGGCCACCUUCUCCUGGCCGACCAUCUAAUCGGAGCCAGAAAGACGAGUUAGAAGCCCUUCGUUUCCUUCGUCUUCGCUCGAGCCAUGGUCGACGUCGAUCGCCACAUGGGGGGCCUCACGCCUGCCCACGCCGCCGGCCUCCGCCGCCUCUCCGCCCGCGCCUCUGCAGCCCCCACAUCUUCCACCGCAGCCGUUUCCCACCAUGGCGGCCUCCUCUCCUUCCGCCCCCUCGCGGAGUCCGUCCUCGCACGUCUCCGCGCCGCCGCCGUACCCAUCCGCCCUGGCCUCUCCGAUGCUGAGGUCUCGCGCCUCGAGGCCGACCUCGCCGUCUCCUUCCCUCCGGACCUCCGCGCCAUCCUCGUCCUCGGGCUACCCUCCGCCCCUGGCUUCCCCGACUGGCGCCCCUCAUCCUCCUGCACCGACCUCCUACUUCGCGCUUCCCUCGACGUCCCCCUCGCCGCUGCUUCCCUCCAGGUCGCCCGCGGCGCCCUCUGGCCCCGCUCAUGGGGUCCCCGCCCUUCCGACCCCGACCGCGCCCUAGGCGUCGCCCGCGCCGCCCUCCGCCGCUCCCCCUUCCUCAUCCCCGUCUUCGAUCGCUGCUACAUCCCUUCCCGCCCCUGCCUCGCUGGCAACCCCAUUUUCUACGUCGACGAGCACCGCGUUUUCUGCUGUGGCUUCGAUCUCGCCGAUUUCUUCCAGCGCGAGCCCGCCUUCCCUCCGGCUUCCCGACGUGAUCCCCACCCGAUCAGCUCUUCCGACGCUCCGCUCCCGCCUCCCCCACCGCCCCCCGCCCGGCGGAGCCUGGACGCCGUCGCAGGGAGGACACCCCGGUGGAUCGAGUUCUGGAGCGACGCUGCCUCCGAUCGCCGCCGCCGGAACUCGUCCUCAUCGGCGUCCUCGUCCUCCUCCGGCUCGGCGUCACCGCGGCUGUCGGACCCGCAGCGGUCCGUGGAUAUCCGUUCUCAAAGGCGUCUGCCGGGCUGGGUCGACUGCUACCUCGACCAGAUCGGGUCGGUCCUCCGAUCGUCCGGCUGGGGCGAGUCGGACGUCAUCGAGAUCGUCGGCGUGCCACCAUCGAGGUUCUUCGACGGCGAUGUCGAAGCGUCGACCGCGGCCGCGAUCGACUCCGAAGCGGCGCUUGACGCACUGCUGGUGAAUGCGGACCGCUGCUCCCAGUCGCUCCGGCGAGCAGGGUGGAGCCCCGACGAGGUCUCCGACGCGCUGGGUUUCGACUUUCUGCGGCGAGAGGGGAGGCGGGAGAGACCUCCGAUGGAGUUACCCCCCGAGAUCGCCGCCAAGGUCGAGAAGCUCGCCGAGGCGGUGGCCACAUCCUGACGGGCGGUGUCCAGAUCCCCCACCUGGCUUCUUCUUUGUUAUUAUUUUAAGCACCUUUGGAACGGUCGACUAUGUAUCGUACGGGAAGCCGUAUGAAAAGGGGGAGGAUGACGUGUACAGAACAACAACAACAACAACAACUACAUGGAAGUUAUCAAACGGAAAAUAUCCAUGAAUCGUGAAACCGAUCAAAUAAUAUUAUGAACUCAUGGGAGGGGGUGUCAACUGUGGCCUGCAAGAUCAAUCAAUUGGCUGGUGAACUUGAAUGUUCGAGUACCCUUCUUUUGGUUAAAGAAGGAGAGAGUGGGGCGCCACUGGCAACGCUACCACACGCGCGGGUCUGAUUGAUUUCGAAAAAAGAAGAGCGAGCCCCCACCCACUUUUAUGUCGCCAUGAAGCUUGUGCUACGGAUUCCCUCCCUUUUUUGGUUUCUCUUUCUUAUUGGCUGCUGUUCACUACUGCAGUGCGGGGGCUGGCAGCUUCGGGGAGCUCAGCCAUGGAGAGUGCAGGAUCAAGGAAAGGCGAAGGCACGGCGUUCUCGGACGACGACACAGAGGACACCAGCAAGUGUGUGUUGUCUUCGAAAGUAGCAACCGCAAGCAAACUAAACAAAUGGCGGAGAGGACCAUCAUCGUUGUCAUCAACGUGUUCGACGCUUUGCCUCGCCGCCCGUUGCCUGGUGGCACGUGGGAGUGCUUGCGCUAAGUUUAACUUUCUCUUCCCUAUCACCGGUUCUCGCAGCACGGAGAUUUAGAGCCAAAAAAUGACCAUUGACACGCUCGCUAUCAGAGAGGCAGGGAGCCGUGCCUUUUCUUCAUAGUGUGGUGGCGGCCGCCGAGAGUGAGAAAAGCGUGGGAAUUGCCGCCUCAAAACAAAGUAUCGCUUUCCUUGAUCGCCACGAGCCUAUCCAACUUUCUAAUCUUUUCAAGCAGAUGGACCACCUCGACAUUGACGAAGCAAACCGAGGUGAAACAGGAACGACCAAGGCGGACUUCAAGAGGGGAAACA